AACUUUCAACAACGGAUCACUUGGCUCUCGCAUCGAUGAAGAACGCAGCGAAAUGCGAUAAGUAAUGUGAAUUUCAGAAUUCAGUGAAUCAUCGACUCUUUGAACGCACCUUGCGCUCUUUAGUAUUCCGAAGAGCAUGCCGGUUUGAGUGUCAUGAAAGUAUCAACCUUGACUUGGGUUUAGUGCUCUUGUCUUGGCUUGGAUUUGGCUGCUUGCCGCUCGAAAGAGUCGGCUCAGCUUACAAGUAUUAGCUGGAUCUGUCUUUGGGACUUGGUUUGACUUGGCGUAAUAAGUUAUUUCGCUGAGGACAAUCUUCGGAUUGGCCGAGUUUCUGGGACGUUUGUCCGCUUUCUAAUACAAGUUCUAGCUUGCUAGACAUGACUUUUUUAUUAUCUGGCCUCAAAUCAGGUAGGACUACCCGCUGAGCUUAAGCAUAUCAAUAAGCGGAGGCU
rnacentral:misc_RNA from 1 species